GCCCGCCUAGCUCAAUUGGCCAGAGCGUCAGACUUUUACGGCGGGGUGUUUCCAUCUGAAAUCUGAAGGCUGCGAGUUCGAGCCUCGCGGUGGGCU
rnacentral:tRNA from 1 species